GCGUGAUUGCAGAUUCCGUGAAUCAUCGAGUCUUUGAACGCACAUUGCGCCCCCUGGUAUUCCGGGGGGCAUGCCUGUCCGAGCGUCAUUGCUGCCCAUCAAGCACGGCUUGUGUGUUGGGUCGUCGUCCCCUCUCCGGGGGGGACGGGCCCCAAAGGCAGCGGCGGCACCGCGUCCGAUCCUCGAGCGUAUGGGGCUUUGUCACCCGCUCUGUAGGCCCGGCCGGCGCUUGCCGAACGCAAAUCAAUCUUUUCCAGGUUGACCUCGGAUCAGGUAGGGAUACCCGCUGAACUUAAGCAUAUCAAUAAGCGGAGGA
rnacentral:rRNA from 1 species